AAUCGGCACAAUAAAUCGGUGAAUGCACCAGUUAUCAACGGGUCACUGGAGCUAAGCAACGUUGUGCGUGGUUCGUAUCUGGAUGAGUGAUCGUCUGGAACAACACGUGUUGACCAUUU
rfam:Asian citrus Psyllid, Diaphorina citri - Florida Strain, whole genome shotgun sequence.